UAUUUAUGUGUCAGGAGGCUAGUGGG
rnacentral:piRNA from 1 species